GUGAAUCAUCGAAUUUUUGAACGCAAAUUGCGCUCCCUGGGAUCCCGGGGAGUAUGCCUGUUUGAGGGUCAGUAAAAUUAAAAUAUCGGUUUAGUUACAAAUUGUGACGUUGCCGGUGUUGGGGCUAUCUUAACUUUUUUGGUUAAGAGGUUUAAAAUUGAUCUUUUUUGCGCAUAAUUAAACGUAGAUAAAUUUUUUUUAUGCGUAUGUUCUCAAUGUUAAUAUCAUAUUAGCUUUGAUCCUA
rnacentral:misc_RNA from 1 species